GUGACAGCCCCGUACACAAAAAUGCACAUACUGUGAGCUCGAUGAGUAGGGCGGGACACGUGGUAUCCUGUCUGAAUAUGGGGGGACCAUCCUCCAAGGCUAAAUACUCCUGACUGACCGAUAGUGAACCAGUACCGUGAGGGAAAGGCGAAAAGAACCCCGGCGAGGGGAGUGAAAAAGAACCUGAAACCGUGUACGUACAAGCAGUGGGAGCACGCUUAGGCGUGUGACUGCGUACCUUUUGUAUAAUGGGUCAGCGACUUAUAUUCUGUAGCAAGGUUAACCGAAUAGGGGAGCCGAAGGGAAACCGAGUCUUAACUGGGCGUUAAGUUGCAGGGUAUAGACCCGAAACCCGGUGAUCUAGCCAUGGGCAGGUUGAAGGUUGGGUAACACUAACUGGAGGACCGAACCGACUAAUGUUGAAAAAUUAGCGGAUGACUUGUGGCUGGGGGUGAAAGGCCAAUCAAACCGGGAGAUAGCUGGUUCUCCCCGAAAGCUAUUUAGGUAGCGCCUCGUGAAUUCAUCUCCGGGGGUAGAGCACUGUUUCGGCAAGGGGGUCAUCCCGACUUACCAACCCGAUGCAAACUGCGAAUACCGGAGAAUGUUAUCACGGGAGACACACGGCGGGUGCUAACGUCCGUCGUGAAGAGGGAAACAACCCAGACCGCCAGCUAAGGUCCCAAAGUCAUGGUUAAGUGGGAAACGAUGUGGGAAGGCCCAGACAGCCAGGAUGUUGGCUUAGAAGCAGCCAUCAUUUAAAGAAAGCGUAAUAGCUCACUGGUCGAGUCGGCCUGCGCGGAAGAUGUAACGGGGCUAAACCAUGCACCGAAGCUGCGGCAGCGACGCUGAUGCGUUGUUGGGUAGGGGAGCGUUCUGUAAGCCUGUGAAGGUGUGCUGUGAGGCAUGCUGGAGGUAUCAGAAGUGCGAAUGCUGACAUAAGUAACGAUAAAGCGGGUGAAAAGCCCGCUCGCCGGAAGACCAAGGGUUCCUGUCCAACGUUAAUCGGGGCAGGGUGAGUCGACCCCUAAGGCGAGGCCGAAAGGCGUAGUCGAUGGGAAACAGGUUAAUAUUCCUGUACUUGGUGUUACUGCGAAGGGGGGACGGAGAAGGCUAUGUUGGCCGGGCGACGGUUGUCCCGGUUUAAGCGUGUAGGCUGGUUUUCCAGGCAAAUCCGGAAAAC
rnacentral:rRNA from 1 species